GUUCGCGCCCGUCAGGGUCGACCUCCCACCCCCGCGUACCAUUACCCUGUUGCUUUGGCGAGCCCCCCCCGUGCCUUUCGCCGGAGGAUAACCCAACCCUUUUGUUUAGCGUCGUCUGAGUCCCAUGCAAUAGUUAAAACUUUCAACAACGGAUCUCUUGGUUCUGGCAUCGAUGAAGAACGCAGCGAAAUGCGAUAAGUAAUGUGAAUUGCAGAAUUCAGUGAAUCAUCGAAUCUUUGAACGCACAUUGCGCCCCCUGGCACUCCGGGGGGCAUGCCUGUUCGAGCGUCAUUGCAACCCUCAAGCCCCGCUUGGUGUUGAGCCCGUGUCAGCGAUGGCAGGCUCCAAAAUCAGUGGCGGCGCCGCCGGCCCCUGAACGUAGUAGCACCUCUCGUUACGGGUCCCCGGUGCGCCCCCGCCAAAAACCCAACCCCUUCUA
rnacentral:rRNA from 1 species